rnacentral:rRNA from 1 species
GACGAACGCUGGCGGCGGGCUUAACACAUGCAAGUCGAACGGAAGGGCCCUGCUUUUGUGGGGUGCUCGAGUGGCGAACGGGUGAGUAACACGGGAGUAACCUGCCCUGGACUUUGGGAUAACUUCAGGAAACUGGGGCUAAUACCGGAUAGGAGCUCCUGCUGCAUGGUGGGGGUUGGAAAGUUUCGGCGGUUGGGGAUGGACUCGCGGCUUAUCAGCUUGUUGGUGGGGUAGUGGCUUACCCAGGCUUUGGCGGGUAGCCGGCCUGGGAGGGUGAACGGCCACAAUGGGACUGAGAGAGGGCGCAGACGCCAACAGGAGGCAGCAGGGGAGAACAUUGCACAAUCGUGGGAAGCCUGUUGCGGCAACGCUCGGUGCGGGAAGACCGCCUUGGGGGUAUAAAGCGCAGUAGCCUGAGACCAAGCGUGAGUGACGGUAAUGGCUAAAGAAGCACCGGCUAACUACGUG